rnacentral:rRNA from 1 species
ACGAUGAAGAGUUUGAUCCUGGCUCAGGAUGAACGCUAGCGGCAGGCCUAACACAUGCAAGUCGAGGGGUAGAAGGGAGCUUGCUCCCUUUGAGACCGGCGCACGGGUGCGUAACGCGUAUGCGACCUACCUUUUACUGGGGGAUAGCCCGGAGAAAUCCGGAUUAAUACCCCAUGGCCCGCGAUGUCCGCAUGGACGUCACGGUAAAGUUCCGGCGGUAAAAGAUGGGCAUGCGUCCUAUUAGCUUGAUGGAGCGGUAACGGCGCCCCAUGGCAACGAUAGGUAGGGGUCCUGAGAGGGAGACCCCCCACACUGGUACUGAGACACGGACCAGACUCCUACGGGAGGCAGCAGUGAGGAAUAUUGGACAAUGGUCGGAAGACUGAUCCAGCCAUGCCGCGUGCAGGAAGACUGCCCUAUGGGUUGUAAACUGCUUUUGUACGGGAAGAAUAAGGCCCACGUGUGGGCCGGUGACGGUACCGUACGAAUAAGCACCGGCUAACUCCGUGCCAGCAGCCGCGGUAAUACGGAGGGUGCAAGCGUUAUCCGGAAUCAUUGGGUUUAAAGGGUCCGUAGGCGGGCCGGUAAGUCAGGGGUGAAAUUCCAUAGCUCAACUAUGGGACUGCCCUUGAUACUGCCGGCCUUGAAUUUGCAGGAAGUGGCUGGAAUGAGUGGUGUAGCGGUGAAAUGCAUAGAUAUUACUCAGAACACCUAUUGCGAAGGCAGGUCACUACUGCACGAUUGACGCUGAUGGACGAAAGCGUGGGGAGCGAACAGGAUUAGAUACCCUGGUAGUCCACGCCGUAAACGAUGGAUACUAGCUGUUGGGCCCUUGGGCUCAGUGGCCAAGCGAAAGUGAUAAGUAUCCCACCUGGGGAGUACGUUCGCAAGAAUGAAACUCAAAGGAAUUGACGGGGGCCCGCACAAGCGGUGGAGCAUGUGGUUUAAUUCGAUGAUACGCGAGGAACCUUACCAGGGCUUAAAUGUAGUCCGACGGGAGUGGAAACACUUUUUUCUUCGGACGGGCUACAAGGUGCUGCAUGGUUGUCGUCAGCUCGUGCCGUGAGGUGUCAGGUUAAGUCCUAUAACGAGCGCAACCCCUGCCGUUAGUUGCCAGCGAGUGAAGUCGGGAACUCUAGCGGGACUGCCGGUGCAAACCGAGAGGAAGGUGGGGAUGACGUCAAAUCAUCACGGCCCUUACGUCCUGGGCCACACACGUGCUACAAUGGCCGGUACAGAGAGCAGCCACGCCGCAAGGCGGAGCGAAUCUACAAAACCGGUCACAGUUCGGAUCGGGGUCUGCAACUCGACCCCGUGAAGCUGGAAUCGCUAGUAAUCGGAUAUCAGCCAUGAUCCGGUGAAUACGUUCCCGGGCCUUGUACACACCGCCCGUCAAGCCAUGGAAGCUGGGGGUACCUGAAGUCGGUGACCGCAAGGAGCUGCCUAGGGUAAGACCGGUAACUGGGGCUAAGUCGUAACAAGGUAGCCGUACCGGAAGGUGCGGCUGGAACACCUCCUUU